GGGCAGUCGGGGUCCGUGAGGGGAAGGGGACAGCCCGGGCCCUGCUGGUGGUGGCGUCAGAACGCCAGGCAAAACUGUUUUUUGAGCUCAGACUUUGCCCCAGUCUGGAAUGAAUUUGGUCUUCCACUGAGCAGAAGUGAACAGAAGGGAAAAAGUCUGGUCUUCCAGAAGAGGCAGGUGCUCAUGAAGAAUGGUGAAUGUAGUUCUUGUGCCCAUGACAACAUAAAAGUCAUGAAUCAGCAAAUAUGUACAGGCUUUGACGCUGGGAAAGUAAUGUUCUUGGAAGGAGAAUCUGAAUUGGUAAAUGUUUAAAGAUAAUGACUCUGUAAACCUUAACUACUGCAAUAAAGUUCUACUAACAGCACAGCAGCUAAUACUUGAGAGGUUU